UACGAAGGGGGCUAGCGUUGCUCGGAAUCACUGGGCGUAAAGCGCACGUAGGCGGCUUUCUAAGUCAGGGGUGAAAUCCUGGAGCUCAACUCCAGAACUGCCUUUGAUACUGGAGAGCUAGAGUCCGGAAGAGGUGAGUGGAACUGCGAGUGUAGAGGUGAAAUUCGUAGAUAUUCGCAAGAACACCAGUGGCGAAGGCGGCUCACUGGCCCGGUACUGACGCUGAGGUGCGAAAGCGGGAGGACAAACGGG
rnacentral:rRNA from 1 species